rnacentral:lncRNA from 1 species
AAAAUCGAACCGAACCGACCGAUGCACACCCCUACGUGCCAAGUUAAAAUAGUACAAGCAAACUGAAAUGGAGGGAGUAUUAUUUUCUUUAUAUUUGCUGGUGUAAUUUCUAACUCUGAUUAACUGCUCAACUUCCUUUGGUUUAGUCAAUAAUAAACCUAUUUUAUCAUCCACAUUUCUCAAUAUUGAAACAUAUCCUAACCAGAAAUGUUUGAUUGUUAAACAAUGACUGUGUCUUGGCCCUCCACCAUAAUUGUUUGUUCUUUCAAAGGUGGAUUUAAUCGGGUGUUCUAUUUCAACUUUCACAUCUUCUUAAUUUGUUUGCUUGUGCCAGUAUGCAUACCAUUCUUUUUCUAGUCUAGAGACAUGACUUCAAGGACCCUUUCUCCAUACUCUGGCAAUGUGGAAUUUAUGAUUUUCCACCGCGUGUCAACUUGAUCACUUGCUUUAGAUGCAUAAAAUUUUGCUGAUCAAGCAGUUACUUACUUAUAUA